GGGGAAUAUUGCACAAUGGGCGAAAGCCUGAUGCAGCGACGCCGCGUGAGGGAUGACGGCCUUCGGGUUGUAAACCUCUUUCAGCAGGGAAGAAGCGAAAGUGACGGUACCUGCAGAAGAAGCGCCGGCUAACUACGUGCCAGCAGCCGCGGUAAUACGAAGGGUGCAAGCGUUAAUCGGAAUUACUGGGCGUAAAGCGCGCGUAGGUGGUUUGGUAAGAUGGAUGUGAAAUCCCCGGGCUCAACCUGGGAACUGCAUCCAUAACUGCCUGACUAGAGUACGGUAGAGGGUGGUGGAAUUUCCUGUGUAGCGGUGAAAUGCGUAGAGAUCAGGAGGAACAUCCGUGGCGAAGGCGACUGCCUGGGCCAACACUGACACUGAGGCACGAAAGCGUGGGGAGCAAACA
rnacentral:rRNA from 1 species